rnacentral:lncRNA from 10 species
AGGGACCGCCGGGCUGGGCAGGGGGGCCGGAGGGAGGAGCCCCGGCUGCAAGCUGACACCCGCGCGCCUCGCGGAACCCGGAGAGCUGCGGUGCGCGCGCACACACACACAUACACACGCACUCACACUCACACGUUCACACUCGCAUCUUCCAGGGGCUGCGUCUCCCUGCAACGUGCACCGCCCCCAACCCCCUCCUGCGCCUCACACUGCACCCUCGGCGGCCCUCCCCACGGCCUCCCUGGAGUCCUGGAAGUCUUGCGCCCACCCCUCCGCAUCCCCUAACUUUCUCCCAAAGAACCUCCAGAACUCCGCGCAGGUUCCCACCCCCUCCCACCGUAUCGGCGCGCGGGCGGGCGGCACUGCCCCCUGCGGGAAAGCCUCGGACGCACAUACUGGCCGCGGGGCCCUCCCCCUGCCUAGAGUCCCUCCGAGUGCGCGAGCUGAUGCACGGACUAGGACACUGGGGACAUCUAUGGAACCCCGGAAAAUGCCCGGCGGCUUUCCGCGCCUUUUUCCUGUGGGGUUCCAACGCGACCCCCGGCCCAGGUUUUCAACCUUGUACAGAUAUACAGAUUUCCCUGCUGAAAUCUUGAAGAUCACCUUUUCUUCAUUGUUUGGGACUAGGUCCUAAAUCGAAAAAUCGCGGUCUUGGGUUCCAAAAGAAUUUGGAUUUGGUUCAUUGAGAGGGAAAAUUGCCUGUCCAGUGAUCUCCGAAGCCAUUCACAAAGCUGCGUGAGUAGCCAGUGAACACGAGAAAAAUGCUCAACCAGCCUCAUACCUAAGUAAUGCCUGUGGUGCGAGCGCCACGGCCCGCGCCUGGAGUUCCAUCUACUCCCGAGGCCUAGGCAGGAGGAUCGCUGGAGCCCAGGAGUUUGAGACCAGCCUGGGCAACAUAGCAAGACCUUGUCUCCAAAAAAAAAAUUUUUUUAAUAAAGAAAUGCCUGUUAC